GGGGGAGGAAAAAAGGGAGGGCGUACUUGGUGACCAGUUGCGCACCCUCCCCAGACACUGGAACUCGGCCGAGGCUGAAGAUCCAUGGGGGAAGAGUCGGGCUGAAGGCCGGAGAAUUAGGAGGGCGGAUUGGGCAUCGCCCCAUCCAGCUGCUGGCAGCGGACGACAGCCGGCCGGCUCGCCGCGCGGAACUCUGGCGAGCGCACUGGAAGCACACAAGUACAUACAGACGCGCGCCCAGCCGGCGUAGGUCUCCAGUUUUGCCCAGGCAGUUUUUUUUUCUUUGUCGUAGUUUUAGAAGCCC
rnacentral:lncRNA from 1 species